GACGAACGCUGGCGGCGUGCCUAAUACAUGCAAGUUGAGCGCUGAAGGUUGGUACUUGUACCAACUGGAUGAGCAGCGAACGGGUGAGUAACGCGUGGGGAAUCUGCCUUUGAGCGGGGGACAACAUUUGGAAACGAAUGCUAAUACCGCAUAAAAACUUUAAACACAAGUUUUAAGUUUGAAAGAUGCAAUUGCAUCACUCAAAGAUGAUCCCGCGUUGUAUUAGCUAGUUGGUGAGGUAAAGGCUCACCAAGGCGAGGAUACAUAGCCGACCUGAGAGGGUGAUAGGCCACAUUGGGACUGAGACACGGCCCAAACUACUACGGGAGGCAGCAGUAGGGAAUCUUCGGCAAUGGACGAAAGUCUGACCGAGCAACGCCGCGUGAGUGAAGAAGGUUGUCGGAUCGUAAAAGUCUGUUGGUAGAGAAGAACGUUGGUGAGAGUGGAAAGCGCAUCAAGUGACGGUAACUACACAGAAAGCGCCGGCUAACUACGUG
rnacentral:rRNA from 1 species